rfam:Gossypium raimondii Chr04_contig_78, whole genome shotgun sequence.
AAUAAAAGAAUGAUAAAUCAGAUUUUUCCUCCUAAUUUUCAACCUUCUCCUCUUGAAAAAAUUCAAAUCUAACUAAAAAUGCUAAAUAUUAGGAGGAAAAAAUUGAUUUGUCAUUCUCCUAUU